CUUGCGUACAUGAGGAAAGUCCGAGCUUCACAGGGCAGAGGUGCCGGUUAACGGCCGGUGGAGGCGACUCCAAGGAUAGUGCAACAGAGAUAUACCGCCGCAAAGCAUUUGCGGUAAGGGUGGAAAGGCGAGGUAAGAGCUCACCGACGGCAUGGCGACUUGUCCGUCCUGUAAACCCCACCUGAAGCAAGAUUGAAUUGAGAGCAUUUAAUGGCGGCCCGUCAAGCUCUUUGUAAUCGCUUGAGCUGUGUGGUAACAUACAGCCUAGAUAGAUAGUCACACAAGACAGAACUCGGCUUACUGCUUG
rnacentral:RNase_P_RNA from 1 species